UACUCUUGACAUCCAGAGAAUUCUCCAGAGAUGAAUUAGUGCCUUCGGGAACUCUGUGACAGGUGCUGCAUGGCUGUCGUCAGCUCGUGUUGUGAAAUGUUGGGUUAAGUCCCGUAACGAGCGCAACCCCUAUCUUUAGUUACCAGCGCGUAAUGGCGAUAACUCUAAAGACACUGCCGGAGACAAACCGGAGAAAGGCGGAGACGACGUCAAGUCAUCAUGGCCCUUACGAGUAGGGCUACACACGUGCUACAAUGGCAUAGACAGAGGACUGCAAACCAGCGAUGGUAAGCCAAUCCCACAAACUAUGUCGUAGUCCGGAUUGGAGUCUGCAACUCGACUCCAUGAAGUCGGAAUCGCUAGUAAUCGUAAAUCAGAAUGCUACGGUGAAUACGUUCCCGGGCCU
rnacentral:rRNA from 1 species